AAGCAUGUAUCUUAGGGUAAUUGUAAUUAAAAAGAAAAUGAAAAAUACAUUAAAAGGAAGGCACGUCUCUUAAUGAAGCGGAUGUUUCUUAUGAGACAGCUGUCCAAACAUGAGUGCUUCAUCUUCCUUUCCACCAUCUCUGCGCAGGAAUCUGGGGUUGACAAGGAAUCGGAAGGAUCUGAUAAAGAGCUUGGCCGUCGUGGAAUGAUUGGGACUGAACGAAUUGGACUUGAUGCUGGUGACAGUCUUGGUGCUCUUGGUUUGAACCUCGAAUCCACUUGGCCUGGUGUAUUUGAUGCUCUGUUUUCGAGUUUCUCCAUGAUUUUUGUGACAGAGGUUCGUCUGCGUUAUUUGGUUUAAAGUCAUUCUUAGUUAGUAAACAAAAUUUAUAGUGUAAUCUUUGUAUGGAUUGGCGAUGAAACUUUUAUAAUAGCGGCACUGAUGGCUAUGCGACACCCCAAAGCUACUGUUUUGUCUGGUGCACUUUCAGCUUUGUUUGUUAUGACUGACGUUGAUGAAAGUGUUUUCUGAAAGACCAGUGAUGUAUAUGGCGGAGAUGUGUUGAGCGAGACUAAACCAUUACAGAUCCAGGCUUCAGCCAAGAAAGACAUUGCCUCCACCAAAGUUGCCAAGUGAUCACAUAACCAAGCUCUAUCGUGGGGAUUGGAUGAUUAAAAGGUCGUCAAGUUCUAACGUAGUGCAACAUCAACGUCCAUUACAAAAGGUUGUAUUAUGAGAAACUUGUAUAAAUGAUAUGGAUAAUGAAAGUGUAUUCACAAGAUCAAAUGUUUCUUUUCAAGUUCUUUCUUCCUUUUCUAAGUUCUUUCAAUUUUUUUUGUAAGAACUCUUGCUUAAAAAAAUUGCAAUGGAAGACAAAAAAUUUAAGUGUCU